CUCCCAAUACACACCCCUAGGGCCAAAGCCCACUCCUGGAAAGGAGAGGGCACCUGGGUGAUAGUGCUUCCAGUCCAAGACAACCCCACACUAAUACCAGCCUCCAACCAACUUACAGCACACACCAAGUGCUCCCCAACAAAAACAAAAGCACCUACUCACCCAUCAUGCUGCUCCUCCACACCCUGGGAAAGCUGGACAAUUGGCACUGCUCACAGAAGCCACUGCUCCCAUCAGGAACUAGAAGGGAAAACACAAGUGUAAAGCACUCAACAGGGACUCGGGGGGCUGGGGUUCCCCUCCACCGACACCAUGCAGCACUCACCACAAAACAUCAGACAGCUGCCAGAUCCCCUCAGCUCCUCCUGGACGCCAAGCAGCUCCAUCACCCCACAACCCCAACAGGGGACAAGGGCACAGCUGGCAGCCUUCCUCCCUUAGACAGGCAGCACCAGGACCUGGGGAAAAAGAACAACUGAGGGCCACCCUGCUGCAGGAAGCCCUGAGUUCCUGCAGGGCAGGGCCACCCUGCUUGGUCCUCUGUCCCCAGCCGUGAACACCACCCAGAGGGUGGCAAACGCAGCCUGGGGACACGAGGACAACCCUCACCUUGCUCCAGCCCUGCCCCUGUGGCGAGAACAGCUCCUCAAACCUCCUCUGAGGGGCUGCUGCUGUAGUGGAACCCACAAACCAAGGCCCUAGACAGAAAAAAAAAAAAAAAGGGGAUUAGAAACAGUCAGCAUGCAUUGACCAAGGGGAAGAUGUGCUCUACCAACCUCACAGUCUUCCACAAUGGCAUCGCCAGGCAUGCAGAUGGAGGAGAGAGCCAAUGUCAUCUACCUUUAGUCAGAAAUGCUGCUGGAUUUUUUUCCUCCCGCAACAUCCCAACAUGAGUGAGCAGGGAGGUGGGCUGAGAACUGGCCUAUCAGCAGAACCGAGUCUGGUUGGAGACCACACUGGCAGUGCUGGGUCCAAGUUCAUUCAGUAUCUUCAUCAGCAACCUCACUGAGGGCAGUGCCCACCCUCACCAAGUACACCAACAAUACAUAGCAUACAUACCUUGGAAGAGCAGCUGAUGCACCGGAAGGCUGUGCUGCCGUCCCACAGGAAGGGCUGCAGAGCUGCACACCUAGGAAGGAAUAACCACAACUAUCAGUACAGGGACAAGCUGCUGGAGGAGCUGAAAGAGCCAAUGCAACCCUAGGGUGCAUCAGAAGGAAUGCAGCCAGCAGGUCAGGGGAGGUGAUCCUCCCCCUCUGCUCUGCCCCGGUCCAGCCCUCACCUGCAGUACUGCAUCCCAUUCCAGGCUCCUCAGUACAAACAAAGAGAGGGAUCUCCUGGAAGGAGUCCAGCAGAGGGCCAUAAAGACGAUGCAGGGCCUGGAGCACCUCUAUGAUGAAGUUUGCAGAGGGGUUAACUUCGUUACCUCCAGAGGUCCCUUCCAGCACCUACAAUCCUGUGGUUCUGUGAACAAAAUUCAUGAGUAAAACUAAAGAUUCACACCGCCACAUCCCAGUGCUCGUCUCUGCAGUCCCAGUGCAGCGGGAACCUUGCAUCUCUGGGCUGAUCCCUGCUGCAAAGCACCUUACCUUGCAACAGCUUUUUGGGGAAAUCAAAAAGAUAAAAGCACAGCAAGUGAUUUAAAGCACUGCUUUCAACUUAGCUGUCCCUGGCGUUGCUUCUUACUCCCAGCAGCAAUAGGGCUAGGGAGGGGACAACCAUGAUUCCAUCCUGCACGCCCCCGCUGCUGCAACCAAGGGGGGCAGUGGGCACCCCCAGGGCUGCGCUCUGCCUCGGGGAGUCCAGCAGAACCCAGAAAAAGAAGGUAGGGAGCCCAGCAGCAGCACUGCAUUGACCCCAAUAGAAGGGCAGAAGGAUCCUCCUGCUGCAAGCAAAGAGCCCCCGGGGUCUGGGCACGAGGGAACGUGCUCGCCCAGACCCCUGGGACUCAGCUCCACGCUCCCAUCGCUGCCACAGCCGCUCAGUACUGCGGGCUGAUCCUCGCUGGAGCUCUCACCCUGCAAGAGAGAAACAAAAAGGAGAGAGAACAAACGUGAUUAAAUGGAUAUCCCCAGCAUUUGCUGUUUUGAAAGCAGCCCCUUGCGAUGCUUCUGACCCCCAGCAGCUCCAGGGUAAGGGGCGCAGCUCCGUUCUGCUCUCCUCCGUUGCUGCAGGACCUGCAAACUGCCCUUAACUAACCCCACAAAGGGGCUAGGAGAGCUGCUUUGCAAAAGUGCUGCAUAGGCUCUAAGGAGCAGAGGGGAGCCAAGAGCAGCCCUGUGCUGGACCCAAAGAGGGCAGGGGCACCAACAGCAAUCCCAUACCACCACCAAAAAGAAGAAAACAAGGCCAGAGCCCAGCAGGGCCACCCCACACUGACUCCAAAAGAGCAGAGGAGCCCAGCAGAAACCAGACCCCAAAAAAGCCCAGCAGAAGCCCAGCGCCCUCCCCAAAAAGAGAGAGCAGUGUGGGAGCCUGGCAGCAUGCUGCGGCAAGCCCUGAAUGAGCCCCUGAGCUCCCAGCAGCCCCCAGUGGAUCCCAGCAAGCUCUGGUGGGGGUUUAAGAGGCGUUGAGGGCGGGCCCUGCCCUGAGCCGCCGAUAAGGCGCAGCUGUGCUAGGGCAGCCCAGCCCUGUGGCACCUGGGGGCCUCAUUAGGGCCCACCCGGGGCCCUGACAGCUGUGCUGACGAUGCUGGGCUUGGCUCCCACUGACGCCGACGUCCCUGGGCGUGCGAUGCCACGCUGACCCCCAAGAGCUGGAGGAGCCCAGCAGUGCAACAACCGCCCCUACAAUGGGCUCCUGAGAGCCAUGCCGUGCAGGUUGCAGGUCGCGAGUUGAGGGCAGGACUUCACGUGCAACUAUUUCAAGACGCAGAGCGGAUUUCUGCUCUCCCACGCAGUGCGAGAGCUUUCACUUUCCAGUUGCAUCACUAGGAUAGAACCCCACAUCCCCCACUUUACAGACGUCCAGCCUCUCCGUUUGCUCUCGUGCAGGGGACGCCGUGGCUCCCGUGUGCCCUUCUAUUCCUGGGUGCAUCCUGCUCCCUGCCAGCUGUCCAAACGAGAGGGAUCAUCAAAGCCCCUCUGCAGCGCUGCUCUUUGUAGAUGUGGGAACAAAGCCACGAUGAGCAUCCGUCGCUGCAAAUUGAGUGCGACUCCUUGAAAUGAGUUUACCAACAGCGCUCAGAAUCUCCUCUCUGAAAGCAGCAAACGGGCGCUAAUUAGCUUCUCAGGCUCGCUGUCGUGCAGAGAUGCUGGCCGGCACCUCCACACCCAGCCCGACGGAACCCAGCUCCGACGUGGGGCAGGGCUGGCUCUGCUGGGGACAGGUGUUGCUGGGUGCGUUUCAAAGCACGGCGGGUUGAAGGGGGGGUUCUGUCUGUUAGAUUCAUGUGCUUGAGCAAAGCGUUGGCCUACGGUGGCAGAGAAGCCGUCCGGAGUGAUGCUGAUGCAUCUCUACAACCCUAACGUUAUGGGAUGGCGGGGUCUGUCUGACAACCUGCGGUCCGGCGGUGCUGCCGGCUCCUCCUUACGCGUGCACUCUCUGCACCUGCCCCUCGUGCUCCUUUGCAGCUCUGCGGGACCCGGGGGGGCUCAGUGCUGCUGCUCCCCCGGCACGGAGCAGCUGGAGCGGGAGCCGGGGUGCUCUGCGAAGCGAGGUGGCUUCUCGCUCGAUGUUCCCUUUGUUCCGUAGCACAUAACGGGGCUCUUCUAGUCCCCAGCCCCGCGCUGGAGCUUCUGCUUUCCCUGGGGGGGGGGCGAGUCCCGCAGCGGUGUUUCUAGGCAGGAAGAAAGGUGAGCCUGUCAGGGUGGACAAAGCCGGCUGUGCUCUGCGCUCACGCAGCACCCCUGCAGCAACACAGCGGCCGAGCAGCGCCUCGAGGGAAAGGAGAAGGCCUCCGAUCAGACCUCAGAGCCGACAGCAGCGUGCAGGAUGGAGUUGGCCCCCGGGGUGUCUAAAGAGAGCCAUGAGGUUGGAAGCGACCUCAAAGGUCAUCCAGCCCAACGGCCCGCCUGCCGCCAAUGCUGCCCACGUCCCCCCGUGCCGCGUCUCGCGCCUCCAGGGAUGG
rnacentral:lncRNA from 1 species